GAUGAACGCUGGCGGCGUGCCUAAUACAUGCAAGUCGAGCGAACAGACGAGGAGCUUGCUCCUCUGACGUUAGCGGCGGACGGGUGAGUAACACGUGGAUAACCUACCUAUAAGACUGGGAUAACUUCGGGAAACCGGAGCUAAUACCGGAUAAUAUAUUGAACCGCAUGGUUCAAUAGUGAAAGACGGUUUUGCUGUCACUUAUAGAUGGAUCCGCGCCGCAUUAGCUAGUUGGUAAGGUAACGGCUUACCAAGGCAACGAUGCGUGGCCGACCUGAGAGGGUGGUCGGCCGCACUGGAACUGAAACACGGUCCAGACGACUACGGGAGGCAGCAGUAGGGAAUCGUCCGCAAUGGGCGAGAGCCUGACGGAGCAACGCCGCGUGAGUGAUGAAGGUCUUCGGAGCGUGAAACUCUGUUAUGGGGGAAGAACAGAUGUGUAAGUAACUAUGCCCGUCUUGACGGUACCUAGUCAGGAAGCCACGGCUAACUACGUG
rnacentral:rRNA from 1 species